GAACUAAGAAUUAACUGUACAUGGAAAUUUCAGGAACUCAGAAUUUCUAUUUACUCCAAAUUUGCAGUGCUUGCACAAAAAUGCAUUUCUGAUGCUGAAGUCAGCUAAAACUGAGUAAAGAUAAUGAUAAAAGAUGCAACUGAACAAUUUAGUCAAAAAGCAAUGGAAAUAAUCUAGUUUAUGCACACAUAAACAAUAUUAUAUAUAACAAAUCCAUCACAAUACAAAUUGUAGUGUAGGCGAUAGAGAUAAGGGAAAUCUUUAAUCGUCUCAUAGGGAAAAUUUUCAUCAUUAUAGCAACAGUACACGAGAAGUAACAAAGCAAUGUAAAAAUCACAGUAAUUCAGCAAUGUAGAUUUAAUGGUGUAGAUUUAAUUUAAUUUAAUUAAUCAUGUUUGUUUGGACCCAAAGAGACCCCAUUAAGUGGCUCUGGAUAGCAGGGGUGAGGAUUGGGUCUCCGCCUGCCUCAGAAACAGAGUCGGCCACUGACAGGAAUUGACCACUGGCCACACGAGACAUAUUGGUCAAUUAUUGAAUGUAGAAAACCAGGGAUUGGUCCCCAACAGAUCAUAGGAGACAGGAGCCGACCUCCAGAGUCACCACAGAAGUCUGUCCCGCAAGGAACGAGGAGUCGUUCCCUCUAAUGAGGCCGCAGGACAUUUGGAGAUGGCCCCUCCAGUGGUCCAUAGGAAUCUGCCACAGACUGCAGCAAACAAAUAAUUGAUCCUCCCCAGGGGACCAUAAGAAACCAGGAAUUGACCCUGCCAGUAGGACUUUAAAUACAAAUACACCAGAUGGAAAUCCCAGGUGAGUUCCGUUGAAUGUUGUUUCGGUGGUCAAAGUUGGAGUUGGAACCACCAGGAAAGAGGAAUCGGUCACUUCUUGAACAUAGGCAAUCAAGAAUUGUAUUCAAGAGGUAUAACACGUCAAACAGAACUUACAAUCAGUGACCCAGCACAGAGGGUAAGAAACAGAACAGCUCGCAGGACCAGCCCAGGGAUUCUAACAGAGCCCCUCCCUUAAGGGCCAAAUUCCAGACGGCCCAACCCAGACACCCAGUGCCAGCCCAUCCCUGAACCACCUAUAGGAACAGAAAGCGUUCUCCCUGGACAAUCCAGAACAGGAACAGAAGGGGCCCUCCCUGUACCUCGCAAAACAGGAACAAAAGGGGUCCUUUCUGAGCCAUCCAAAACAGGAACAUUUGGGGUCUUCUCUGGGCCAUCAUGGAAAAGAGUGGUGAUGGGUCUGGAUGGGCAUCAGUAGCAUUGAGCUUUGGUUGAGCUAAGCUGUGGACCAUUGGCUGAUGCAGGCUGUGGAGCUGCAGCAACAGAGUAAUGUGGAGCAGGGGCUACAGCGGUGCGUGGUGCAGAAGCCACAUAAGAACCAGAAGCUACAGCAGCAGGGGGAACGAAAGACUGGAGCAGCACCUGGAUGUGGGGUUGCAGCACCAGGGGGACUUAAAGCAGGGCCCAGACGUUUCACCACUGCAGCAUAGAUGAACUGUGGGGGAGCACUGAUAGGAGCAGUGGACAGAACGCGUUGUGAGCCUCGAGUUUUCAGCUCUUUCCAAACUACUCAAGCUUCAGAAGGGGACAAUGUGGAAGUUGUGGCAGGUGUGUCACCUCAAACAAAGACAGCCUGAGAAGCAAAGUUUGAAGACGGAGCUAUAGGUCAGACUGAAAGGUAGCAGCAAAAGGGCAUUAAACCGAGCAGGGUAUGGAGCAGGGACUCUGAAUUAGCUGCGGAACAAGACAGAGUCUCUAAGUCACUCAACAGGGCAAUGAGUUGCCUAACUCCUGAGCACCCCAUAAAAAGGCAUAGGAUUAUAAUCAAAAACUCAUAUGAAUGAAUAAACAAAAAUCACUCCUGUCAAAAAUAAAUUAGAAAACACACAACCAAGAGGAUAAAACACUGACAAAAUGAUGCUAGAAAAAAUAACAAUAGAAGGAAGAGCCAUGAGGCUAAGUAUUGGGGUGAAGGCUUAAUGUAAAUACAAAACUAUUUAAACACUAAUUAGAACCAUAACACAUUUUCUAUUGGUGGCUUUGACGCAGCUGCGUAAUGAAACGACACAUUCUCUUCUCUCAAGAGUUGAAAAAUGACACGCUUUGUUCGCAAAAGCCUCUAACUGUGUGAAAAAAACUGGAAAUAUGCAACAAAAAAUAUUUUUUCCUUCAAACAACACAACUUGCAACCAAGUAUAUGAACACGUCCAAUCAUUCAUAUCAGUGGACAGCAAAAUACAAACCACUGAUCUCAGUGUAAAUCAGUGUUUCAUGUAUUGUCAUUAAAGCCUGUUGCUCUUU